CCUACGGGUGGCUGCAGUGGGGAAUAUUGGACAAUGGGGGCAACCCUGAUCCAGCCAUGCCGCGUGUGUGAUGAAGGCCCUCGGGUUGUAAAGCACUUUCAGUGAGGAAGAACGCCUGGUGGUUAAUACCCAUCAGGAAAGACAUCACUCACAGAAGAAGCACCGGCUAACUCCGUGCCAGCAGCCGCGGUAAUACGGAGGGUGCGAGCGUUAAUCGGAAUUACUGGGCGUAAAGCGCGCGUAGGUGGCUUGAUAAGCCGGUUGUGAAAGCCCCGGGCUCAACCUGGGAACGGCAUCCGGAACUGUCAAGCUAGAGUGCAGGAGAGGAAGGUAGAAUUCCCGGUGUAGCGGUGAAAUGCGUAGAGAUUGGGAGGAAUACCAGUGGCGAAGGCGGCCUUCUGGACUGACACUGACGCUGAGGUGCGAAAGCGUGGGUAGCAAACAGGAUUAGACACCCCAGUAGUC
rnacentral:rRNA from 1 species